rnacentral:rRNA from 1 species
GUGGGGAAUAUUGGACAAUGGGGGGAACCCUGAUCCAGCCAUGCCGCGUGUGUGAAGAAGGCCUUUUGGUUGUAAAGCACUUUAAGCGAGGAGGAGGCUACCGAGAUUAAUACUCUUGGAUAGUGGACGUUACUCGCAGAAUAAGCACCGGCUAACUCUGUGCCAGCAGCCGCGGUAAUACAGAGGGUGCAAGCGUUAAUCGGAUUUACUGGGCGUAAAGCGCGCGUAGGUGGCCAAUUAAGUCAAAUGUGAAAUCCCCGAGCUUAACUUGGGAAUUGCAUUCGAUACUGGUUGGCUAGAGUAUGGGAGAGGAUGGUAGAAUUCCAGGUGUAGCGGUGAAAUGCGUAGAGAUCUGGAGGAAUACCGAUGGCGAAGGCAGCCAUCUGGCCUAAUACUGACACUGAGGUGCGAAAGCAUGGGGAGCAAACAGGAUUAGAUACCCUGGAAGUCC